rnacentral:rRNA from 1 species
UACGAAGGGGGCUAGCGUUGCUCGGAAUCACUGGGCGUAAAGGGUGCGUAGGCGGGUCUUUAAGUCGGUGGUGAAAUCCUGGAGCUCAACUCCAGAACUGCCUUCGAUACUGGGAAGCUCGAGUCCGGGAGAGGUGAGUGGAACUGCGAGUGUAGAGGUGAAAUUCGUAGAUAUUCGCAAGAACACCAGUGGCGAAGGCGGCUCACUGGCCCGGUACUGACGCUGAGGUGCGAAAGCGUGGGGAGCAAACAGG